UUUCAGUUAUUUUUAGUGUUCACUUCAUUUAUUCAUUCGUCACCGGUUACCAUCGCAUCAUCACUUGCCACUAUGAUCUCUCCAAACAAAUGGACUUUCAAUGAAGAAUAUGCAAUGGUUCGUUCUCGUCUCCUGGAACAUGGGACGGAUUAUAAGUUUAAUCGUUUACGAGACGAUGACCUUGACAUAUGGGAAAUUAUUUCUCAAGAAGCAAUUCUCGUAAACGGAAAAAAAGACGCUACGAUGUAAAGGGACCGGUUCUUCGACAUCAUUGAUGAUUUUUUGGUUUGUUUUAACAUGCCAGACAGGCAACAAAUGUCGGUGAACUUGCCUGCACAUUACAUGCUUUUUCAAUAUUACCUCACUC